ACUCAAAGCUAGCAAACGUUAUCCACAGUACUGUAACUGGUUGCACCAAAAACAGAGCAAACCCCCUGCAGUUCCAAAGCCAUGGAGUCAAUUGGUUGCCCAUCAUCCCCUUCUCUUCCACCCCAUUCUUUCCUCAGUCACCACUCCGCCAAACCAAGAAGAAGAAGUGCACAGCUUCUCCUUCUAACAAAGUCACCAAAACACAGACAUAACCUUCUCUUCCUUGCGGUAUCUCCCACUCAGCAAGCUCUCAGCAACAGUCUCAAUGCAGCUGCCACCUCCCCAGCAGCAGCAGGUGACUUGUCGGUCCUCGUUCCGAUCAGUGCCCUGCUGUUGUUCAUCUACUGGGUUACUAAUUUCAUCGUUCCGGGGAUGAUAACUAAGGAGCUUCAAUCUGCGACCUCAGAACAAGAAGCGGGCACCGAGGAAGAGAAGGAAGAAGGCAUGGUCGAACCACCAAACCUGAAGAUAAAGAAAAGCCGAGGCAUGAGGAAGACAACUACUCUACUCUGAAACACUUGCAGUCGCAAAUAUAUCCAUACAUACAUACAUAUAUGAAACCAGCAUCAAGUUUGUAUUGAACUUUGUUUCAUGAAUUUAUUCCUUUUCCUUUGAACAAUGCAUAAAUAUAUGUAUAUAUUGCCAA